UAGCCGUAAACGAUACUCGCUAGGUGUCGGCCACGGUGCGACCGUUGUCGGUGCCGUAGGGAAGCCGUGAAGCGAGCCACCUGGGAAGUACGGCCGCAAGGCUGAAACUUAAAGGAAUUGGCGGGGGGAGCACCACAACGGGUGGAGCUUGCGGUUUAAUUGGAUUCAACGCCGGAAAUCUUACCGGGACCGACAGCAACAUGAAGGCCAGGCUGAAGACUUUGCCGGAUUAGCUGAGAGGAGGUGCAUGGCGUGUGACUGU
rnacentral:rRNA from 1 species